GUUUGUGGUUUGUAAAGAAGAAAAAAAAAAAAAAAAAAAAAUCUCUUCCAAAAAAGCACCGGUCUGCAGAUGUCUGCAAGAGAAUCAACAAACCCUCCUUCUUCUACGGCAGGGCAGGGGGCAUAUUCACAGGGAGCUUUAGGAUAAUGCAUUUGUGGAGACUGGAACUGAGAAUGUUAAUACUAUUGUAAGGUUUUUUCCUCUGUGGACUGAGAAAGGAAGGCCCUUUCCAGGCAUGUACUCAUCAAAGCAUGCUCCAUGUAAAGACCUCGUCUAUAAUUUGGAAAGUCUUUAUAAAUGAAAUUCUACAAAAACAGUGGUCUCUCUAAGGAGAAAUGAUCUGAUCCAGGAUAGUACAUGGUGUAUUUUCUGUGUAUGUGUGCACAUCCAUGUCUGUAGACACCAUCUAGGGAAGAGGAAAAAGGUAGGGAAGAGUCCUGACAAUAUUAUUUGUAAAGUAGCUAUACCCAUUCAUUCACUGAAUGAUGUUGUACUAUCUAAAACACUAAUUAGAUUGCACGAUUGCAUGGCUCUCCAGAGUAUUGCAUCUCAGCAAUAAAAUCCCCACAGAGUCAUUUAUCAUGUCAUAGGGUAAGUGAUAUUUUUUGGGGUAUUCAUCUGGAUAGAUGAAAAACAAACACUGCAGUUUGGGAAUUUACAGAUAUAGAGACAUGACCUGUGAAUGAGUGAUCUGCAAGAUUAUGCACUGAAUGUGCUGCAAAUGGCAACAUAGAAGGUAUUUCAGUAUAUAAAUAUUAGAUGUGGGUUUUUUAAGCUUGAGAUACUUAUAGUUCCAGCCAGCCCUCUAAGACGUCUGGAUGCUUCCAUAAUGCAAUAUCACAAUGGAAAUCAAAAACCAUAGAAUAAGGGAGUCCAUGAAGGAAUAAGGGAGUGGAUUUUGCUAUUAAGAAGGUAUUAUUGUUUUAUUAGCCCAUAGCAAUCUGUUUUGGGCACACCAGUCUGUCCUUACUAAUGCUGUAGGGAUCUCUGUUUAGCAAUCAUAUUGGGUGAAGUCCAGUAAAAAUAUAUUUGGGGGUAUCACCAUUUUUCGAAAUUGUAUUAUUUUUCCAGUUGAAUUUGGUCUCGAGUCUGCAAAAAUCAACACUUUUGAUGGAGUUUAAAAAUAUGAAUAGUGGAAACUAAUGGGAAAGGCCUUUAAUUUUUGAAAGCACAUCCAAAUACACUCUACAGACAGACUGAUAUGCUUAAUACUGAAAAUAUCUAUCUUGCUUUAUUUCAUAGUACUCCAAAUCAGCUACAGGAUAAGGCUAGGAGAAGCUUCACCCUGAGAUAUGCGUGUCUGCAGACUGGCGACAUGUCUCUUUUGGACAUUAUGAGACGUGCACUCUUAAUCAUACAGACUAGAAUGGUCUCUUAGGUCAUAUUCAAGCACUACUGAAAUUUAUGAAAUAGAUAUUCUUAUGUGCAAUUAACCUACAUAACCUAAACCAGUAGCCUUUACUGGACUAUCAAGUAUACAUGUGUAGAUCUCUCUCUAGCAGUCACAUUCUGCAGUAUCCCAACUAAUGGUUUCCUGGAUAUCCAGAGAUAAGAGACUGCUAACAGCUUAGUAACAAGGCGUUUCUUUUGCCAAGAGGGAGGCUUAGUUGUCAUUUGGGCUCAAUUAGAUUUUUGUUGAUGAUGCAUUGUUGUUAUUGUUGUUUUUAGUAUGUAUGUACGUAAUUUCUUGUUUGUUUAAUCAGGUGAUGAAUUCUGGAUUCUUUCUGCUUGCAGGUUGUUAGCUACAUUGAUACCAUUGUGCUUUCUCUGUCUCUCCUAGGGGGAAUUUUGGCAGGUCAGGAGCAAUAAAAUACUUCUGCAUCUGACUAUCUUAGGGAGGAAAAAUGAAUGAGGAAGGACUCAUUCCUUUUUUGUUCAUGAAAAAUGUGCUUAGAAGUAGACUUUAUGUUGUGACUCCUGGGAAAAGGUAGCUAUCUCUCUCCAUUUAAGCUAAUGUGACUUAAUUGUAGAGGCUAAUGGACUUUGGAUAAACCCUUUCUUAUAUUUCACAAGUCCACUGACUUUCCAUGCACCAAUUCUAGAUCUCCCCAGGACUUGUUAAGAAACUGGUAUCUAAGUUGGAUGCCAAUAAUUGGGCUCACCCCAAAAAUAAAUUCUGUUAUAUUAAUCCAAAAAGUGAUUUUACAGUACAUUACUGCAGUGGGGAAUGACUGAAGCUGUUUUUUAUGCUCUUUUUUCAGUAUGUGUGUGGACUUUGGUAACUCAAAGUGUUUCAAAGGUAGUGUUACACAGAACUUAGCAGUAGGGAAUCUAGAGGGCAGAGGCACAUCUGAAAUCCUUCCUUCUACAGAAUUUAAAAGACUUCCCUACAUUCAUUUGGGAUUCUUAGUUCUUCAGGAAGUCUAUGUAAUCUGUUCUAAAAUAAUAGAUCACGAGAGGAAGGUUGGGAGCUAAAGCAAAAAACAUUGGGCAGAGUGGCGGAGAAAAGGCAUUAAAUUUCUUUUAAAAAGACCUCUAAAAGAAACUAUUUUUGUCUUUAAGGUCUGAUGCAGCUCACCUAAUUUUAAGGACAUAGCUGAGGUGAAAAAAGGAGUAAUUUACUCUAAUUUCCUCCAGUUGAAUAUGGAAAGUGGUGUGCAAAACCAAAUUCUAGGCUGAUCCCACCACCUCUGGUUGUCUCAGUCCUUCCCCACUGAUUGUAAGGGUAGACAGAAAAAAUUGGAUUGUCACUUAAGAACCAGAUAUUCUAAUGGGAUUAAAACUCUGGCCUUGAAAAACACAUUUAUUAAGAGAUUAUAAUGCUGAAGGAUGGAGAAAAGUACCUACUGGGAUUGCUAAAAGAUGUGUAAUUUCCACUUAUUUUAAUAAGACUAUGUGAAUACUUUGAAAUCUACUGAGGUCCCUGUGUACCUCUGGGACUAGGUCUGGAAACCUGAGUUUUACUAAAAACAAGUGGAAUUUAAUAUAUUAAAAACUAAGGUAUACAUGAAAAACUUUGAUGGUUUAGACAGUUAAGUAUUUUUCCAAAUUUUAACUUUU